AAAGUACUCCCUCCGUCCCAAAAUUCGUGUCUUAGAUUUGUCUAGAUACGGAUGUAUCAAGUCACAUUUUAGUAUUAGAUACAUCCGUAUCUAGACAAAUGUAAGACAAGAAUUUUGGGACGGAGGGAGUAGUUG
rnacentral:pre_miRNA from 1 species